GACGAACGCUGGCGGCGUGCUUAACACAUGCAAGUCGAACGGUGAAGCGCCUUCCUUUUUGGUGGGUGUGGAUGAGUGGCGAACGGGUGAGUAACACGUGCGUAACCUGCCCCCUUCUUCUGGAUAACCGCAUGAAAGUGUGGCUAAUACGGGAUAUUCUGGGUCUGUCGCAUGAUGGGUCUGGGAAAGAUAUUGUUUCGGUGGGGGAUGGGCUCGCGGCCUAUCAGCUUGUUGGUGGGGUGAUGGCCUACCAAGGCGGUGACGGGUAGCCGGCCUGAGAGGGUGGACGGUCACACUGGGACUGAGACACGGCCCAGACUCCUACGGGAGGCAGCAGGGGGGAAUAGUGCACAAUGGGCGCAAGCCUGAUGCAGCGACGCCGCGUGAGGGAUGGAGGCCGUCGGGUUGUGAACCUCUUUCGCCAGUGAAGCAGGCCUGCCUCGUUUGUGGGUGGGUUGACGGUAGCUGGAUAAGAAGCGCCGGCUAACUACGUG
rnacentral:rRNA from 1 species